rnacentral:misc_RNA from 1 species
AGGUUAUUGCCAGGGUUUUUAUUUUUAUACUUUAAACUUUGAUUUUAUUUUUAUGUUUUUUAAAUAUUGGUGUUUUUGAAUGUGUUGUUUAAAUAACAUAAAAAAUAAAAUAUAUAUUGACAUGUAUUAAACAAAGAUAUAUAUUAUUUUAUGUUGUAUAAAUAAAUUGGCAAAAUAGAGAUGGAAGAUAAAAAUAUGGUCAAAGUAAUAAGAGUCUAUGGUGAAUGCCUAGA